rnacentral:rRNA from 1 species
UACAGAGACUGCAAGCGUUAUUCGGAUUCACUGGGCGUAAAGGGUGCGCAGGCGGCCAAGUGUGUGAGGCGUGAAAGCCCGGGGCUUAACCCCGGAAUUGCACCUCAAACUACAUGGCUAGAGCAUUGGAGAGGGUAGCAGAAUUCAUGGUGUAGCAGUGAAAUGCGUAGAUAUCAUGAGGAAUACUAGAGGCGAAGGCGGCUACCUGGACAAUUGCUGACGCUCAGGCACGAAAGCGUGGGGAGCAAAAGGG